rnacentral:rRNA from 1 species
ACGGCUCAGUAACACGUGGAUAACCUGCCCUUGGUCUGGCAUAACCCCGGGAAACUGGGGAUAAUUCCGGAUAACGCACAUAUGCUGGAAUGCUUUAUGCGUAAAAUGGAUUCGUCUGCCCAAGGAUGGGUCUGCGGCCUAUCAGGUAGUAGUGGGUGUAAUGUACCUACUAGCCGACGACGGGUACGGGUUGUGAGAGCAAGAGCCCGGAGAUGGAUUCUGAGACAUGAAUCCAGGCCCUACGGGGCGCAGCAGGCGCGAAAACUUUACAAUGCGGGAAACCGUGAUAAGGGGACACCGAGUGCCAGCAUCAUAUGCUGGCUGUCCAGAUGUGUAAAAUACAUCUGUUAGCAAGGGCCGGGCAAGACCGGUGCCAGCCGCCGCGGUAACACCGGCGGCCCGAGUGGUGAUCGUGAUUAUUGGGUCUAAAGGGUCCGUAGCCGGUUUGGUCAGUCCUCCGGGAAAUCUGAUAGCUCAACUAUUAGGCUUUCGGGGGAUACUGCCAGACUUGGAACCGGGAGAGGUAAGAGGUACUACAGGGGUAGGAGUGAAAUCUUGUAAUCCCUGUGGGACCACCUGUGGCGAAGGCGUCUUACCAGAACGGGUUCGACGGUGAGGGACGAAAGCUGGGGGCACGAACCGGAUUAGAUACCCGGGUAGUCCCAGCCGUAAACGAUGCUCGCUAGGUGUCAGACAUGGCGCGACCGUGUCUGGUGCCGCAGGGAAGCCGUGAAGCGAGCCACCUGGGAAGUACGGCCGCAAGGCUGAAACUUAAAGGAAUUGGCGGGGGAGCAC